rnacentral:lncRNA from 1 species
GUUAGGCUGCAGCUGCUGGAUGUGUCUCCUGAUCCCUGAGACCCACUCCUCCCAUGCAUCCUCAGAGUCCCUCAAACCCCACAUCCAGAGCCAGACAGGGUAAGCAGCCGUCGAGAGGGGGCUCUGGAGACUGAGACGGGAGUGGGAUCAGCAACUGACCAGUUGGGAACUGUGGGCAUCACCUCUCAUCUCGGGUCUCAGUGUCCUCUGAGCCCUCACUCCAUUCAUUCGUCUCACUCCUGGGCCACACCUAAAAAUCACUUCCUUGGCCCAGACUUCCCCAUGAUUUCCCAGCCUCUACCUUCACUCCUAAACUUUUAUCCACCCACCCACCCCAUUCAUCGAUUUAUUCACUCAUCCAUCCACCCAUCCACCCACCCACUCAUCCAUCCACCCAUCCAGCCAUUCACUCAUCCAUCCAUCUAUCCAUCUACCCAUCUAUCCAUCCAUCCAUCAUCCAUCCACCCACCCAUCCAUCCACCCAUCCAGCCAUUCACUCAUCCAUCCAUCUAUCCAUCUACCCAUCUAUCCAUCCAUCCAUCAUCCAUCCACCUGUCCACCCAUUUACGAAAUCCACCCACCGACCCACCCAUCCAUCUCUCCAUUUACUCAUCCAUCCAUCCAUCCACCCAUCUGUCCACCCAUUACCCAGCUACCCAUCCAUCCAUCUACCCAUCUAUCCACUCACUCAUCCACCCAUGUACCCAUCCACCCACCCUCCCACCCAUCCACUCAUCCAUUCAUCCACUCACCCAUCCACCCAUUCAUCCAUUCAUCCGUCACCCACCACCCAUCUACCCAUUCAUUCAUCCAUCCAUCCACUCAUCCACCCAUCCAUCCACCCAUUCAUCCAUCCAUCCAUCACCCACCACCCAUCUACCCAUUCAUUCAUCCAUCCAUCCACUCAUCCACCCAUCCAUCCACCCAUUCAUCCAUCCAUCCAUCCAUCCAUCCCACCCAUCCAUCCAUCUAUCCAUCCACCCAUCCAUCUAUUCAUUCACUCAUCCAUCCAUCUAUCCGUCUAUCCAUCUACCCAUCUAUUCAUCCAUCCAUCAUCCACCUGCCUGUCCACCCAUUUACUCAAUCCACCCAUCCAUCCAUCGCUUCAUCUACUCAUCUAUCCAUCCACCCAUCUGUUCACCCAUUAUCCAUCUACUCAUACAUCCAUCUACCCAUCUAUCCACUCACUCGUCCACCCAUCUACCCAUCCACCCACCCACACCCCCAUCCACUCAUCCAUUCAUCCAUCCAUUCACCCACUCAUCCAUCCAUCCUUCACUCACCCAUUCACCCAUUUAUUCAUUCAUUCAUCCAUCACCUGCCACCCAUCUACCCAUUCAUUCAUCCAUCCAUCCACUCAUCCACCCAUCCAUCCAUGCAUUCACCCACCCAUUCAUCCAUCCAUUCAUCCAUCCCACCCACCCAUCCAUCUAUCCACUCAUCCAUCCAUCCUUCACUCACCAAUCCACCCACCCAUCCAUUCACCCAUCACCCUUCCACCCAUCUACCCAUUAAUUCAUCCAUCCACUCAUUCACCCAUCCAUCCACCCAUUCAUCCACCCAUCUAUCCAUCUAUCCACUCAUCCACCCACUCAUCCAUUCAUGUAUCACCCAUCCACCCAUCUAACCAUCCAUCCAUCCAUCCAUCCACUCAUCCCUCUUUCAAUCCAUCCAUCUAUCCAUCCAUUCAUCCAUCCACCCACUCAUCCAUCUAUCCAUUGAUUCAUCCACUCAUCCAUCCUGCCACUCCAUCCAUCCACUCAUCUAUCCCUCAACUUAUCCAUCCAUCUAUUCAUCUAUCCAUCCACCCAUUCAUCCACCCAUCCAUUCCCUUCCAUCUUUCCUUUUUUUUUUUUUUUAAAGAUUCCCAGACCAAGUAUCUCUCCCAUAGAAGUCAUCCUUGGGUACUAACACUACUAUUGUGUCCCAGAGCUGGUUCCUUCUCGUGGGUUCUCGGUCUCGCUGACUUCAAGAAUGAAGCCGCAGACCUUCGCAGUAAGUGUUACAGCUCUUAAAGGUGGUGUGGACCCAAAGAGUGAGCAGCAGCAAGAUUUAUUGUGAAGAGCGAAAGAACAAAGCUUCCACAGCGUGGAAGGGGACCCGAGCGGGUUGCCCCCAUUCCAUCUUUCCAACCAUCCACCCACAUUUACCAACUUCUACUCUGACCUUUAGCUAUUCACUAAAGAAGCAGAAGAAUCAAACUCAGCCCCUAACCUUGUGAGGCUCUCCAUCUUGUAGAGGAGACCCACAGAAAACAGAUAAAUUAUGAACCUUCCUAGUAAGGACUAUUGAAGAGGCCAAAACAAUAGGUUUGGGGGAUUUAGGGAAAGGAAGGCCAAAUAGGGGUAGGUCAAACACAAUCGCUGUCUCUGGGCAUGACUUUGCACCCCUGCUCAGCUCCCCGCCAUCAGCCCAUGGAAACAGAUCUUGCUAAGGUCACCAGUGACCCUCUAACUGCCAAUCCCAGAGUCAUUCUUCUCACUGUAUUCUUGACCUUUCCUUUCCUGACCUUUGACAUUGGCCAUUGCUCUGCUGGGUUAGGGUUAGGGUUAGGGUGCUGCACUGGCCAUUCCCACCUCUGUCUGCCAGCUAAGGUGGAGUCCCCCUAGGCCCCUCAGACUCAACCUGUCCCAAAGGACUCCAUCACCACCUUUUCAUCCUCUAGCCCACCGGCUCCACUGUCUACCCCCAUCACCUUGACAAAAAACUCAGGUGUCAUUUUUGACUUCCUGUUCUAAUUCCCACACUCAUCCAGUCCUGCCCAUUCCACAUCAGAAACAACUCUUGCCCAUCCCUUCCUUUCCAUCCCCACGCCCGCUGUCCUGGCUCCUCCUUUUUCUGAGUUUCCUGACUUCCAGCCUCACACUCUAGUCCAUCCCCCAGUGUUGAUGACUACAGGGAUCACCUCUGAGCUCCCCAGACCAGGCCUCCCCAGACCUGGUCCUGACUGUAUAGUCUCUAUUUCCUCCUCCCCAGCAGCCCCUUCAGGGUUAGGACUACUGAACUCCUAUUCGUCUUUCAAAACCCCAUUAAUAUUCCCUCCUCCAAGAAGAUAUUCCCUCCUGGAUCUCUGAUGCCUCAGCCUGGGCUCCUACAGGUCCCAGUCCUGACUACCUGGGGGCCUGGAGGUGUCUACAUGGAGCUUUGCUUCCCCUAGCUUGGCAGCUCCUUGAAGGCUGGGCCUAAGAAACUCCUACUCAUCCCUCAGGGCCCCAGCUCCUUUGCCCUUCCUACAGGAAGCCUUCCCUGCCCCCUAGGCUGGGCCUAGGUGGAGCGCUCACCGCAGGUUGGUUUUCUGCACGGAGAAGCAGUACUCGUUGAUGCCAGUGGUGGGCAUGCGGCUGCGGAGCACGUCCUGAGCUGUGGGGACGUAGCCCUCCUCGGUGAUGCGCUCCAGGUGGGACAGGUAGCUGCAGAGCAAGGAGUCCUGAGGCCCAGCCUUGCAGCCAGCCUCCCUUUGCUUCCCAGGCCCUACGAAAGGCCCAGCAAGGACCCUGCUGGGGGAGGAGAGCUCCCUGGGUGGAGGUGGGGUCCCUGGAGUUGGCAGAUGGCCCAGGAGCGUCCCCCACCUGAGGCAAUGGAGCCCCAAGGAAAAGCAGCUUCACACGCAGAGCAGGGUGACCCGAGGGAUGGCGUGACAUGAGGAAUGGCCUCAUCGAGGAGUGGUGUCCCCCGGGAGAGCUGCUAUGGCAGGGGUGGCGCUACCCCAAGAAUGCUGGUAGCCUGGGAACAGUCUUCCCAGACAUCAAGCCACCUUGGACAUCCACCAUCACACCUAGUACAGGAUCCCACUAGGAAUAGGGUCACCCCCAGAACAGGGUCUCCCCUGGAACAGAGUCCCCCCUAAAACAGGGUCACUUUAGGAACAGGGUCCCCCCAGGAACAGGGUCACUCCAGGAACAGGGUCCCCCCAGAAUAGGGUCCCCUCAGAAACAGGGUCACUCCCAGAAAAGGGUCCCUUCUAAAACAGGGGCACUCUAGGAACAGGUUCCCGCCAGGAAUAGGGUCACUCCGGGAACAGGGUUCUCUAGGAAUAGGGUUCCCCCAGGAACAAGGUCCCCCCAGGAACAGGGUCCCUCCAAGAACAGGGUCACUCUAGGAAUACAGUCCCCCCAGGAACAGGAUCACCCCUAGGAACAGGGUCACUCCAGGAAAAGGAUCAACGCCAGAACAGGAUCCCCCAGGAAAUAGGGUCUCCCUGGGAACAGAGUCACCCCCGGGAACAGGGUCCCCCCAGAAACAGGGUCACCCCUGAAACAGGGUCCUCACGGGAACAGGGACUCCAAGGCCCAGGGUCACUCCAGGAACAGGGUUCUCCAGGAAUAGGGUUCCCCCCAGGAUCAGGGUUCCCCCCAAGAACAGGGUCACUCUAGGAAUACGGUUCCCCCAGGAACAGGGUCACCCCUGAAACAGGGUCCUCGCAGGAACAGGGAACCCCAGGCACAGGGUCACUCUAGGAACAGGAUACCCCCUAGAACAGGGUCUCCCCAAGGAACUGGAUUCCCUCAGGAACAGAGUCACUCCUAGAACAGAGUCCCCCUAUGAAUAGGGUCAUUCCAAGAACAAGAUCACCGCCAGAACAGAGUCCCAAGGAACAGGGUCCACCCAGGAACAAGGUCAUUCCAUGAAGGGAGUUCCCCCAGGAAAAGGGUCACCCCCAGAACAGGGUCCCCCGGGAAUUAGGGUCCCCCUGGAAGGACCUCAUCCUGGAGCAGGACCACCUCACAGCCCAUCUGCGCCCACAAUAUCUCCUGCUGCAGGAAGCCAGCCAGCCUGGCCCCUGCCCUCAGCCCCUCCCCACGCGCCCAUCCCCCGCAGACCCCAGACUCACUACACGGCUGAAUCGAGCAGGUGGAAUUCCCGCCGACGCUCAUAGCAGGCCCGGAUGCCGGCAUCCCUCCACAGCCACUGCAUGGCCGCAGCGUAGCGCUUCUCAAACGUGGUCACUUUAUAGGGGUCCUGGCUCAUGACCAGGCUAGCGUGGUGCUGGGGAGGGAGGACGGGGGCAGUUAGGGUAGCCUUUCUGAGUGGGGCUGCCCUCCGCAGGCAUCUCUGCAAGCCCCCACGUCCCUCCCUGAAACACGCUCUCUUCCCACUGCUCUCCUUCUUCCCCAGAGCUCCCGACCCCCCCGCACACUUCUGAUUUGUCCUCCGUCUGUUCUUGCAUGGAUCCCCAGAGGGAAAAGCACAGACCACCACAUGAGGGGCUGCAGAGGGCACAUGUGCUCGGGCGAGCCCAGGCUCAGGGGGAGCAUGGCACCCAGCCCCGCUCUUUACACUAGCUGGCUCCCAGGAAGCACGGCACUCACAGUCCCCCCUUCCACAGAUGAAGCGACUAAGACACAGAGCACUGAAGCAAUCUGCCCCUCAGAAGUCCCCCAGAGGCGCGUGAACCCUGAGCUGCCCCCCAGACUCUGGGUUUCCCCUUCUUUUCCCCAAACAGCCCUAGCUCCCCCCAGGCACUCGCGUUGCUCAGACCUUUGUGAUGGACUCUGAGUGUUGUGUGUGCAUUUCUCUGUGUUUGUUCAUGUACAAGCGUGCUCGUGUGUGUGUGUGUAUAGAUGUACACAUGUACAUGGGUGUGUCUGGGUGUGUGAUUUGUUUGCAUAUUUGUGUGUGGGGCACGCGCAUGUAUCCUUGGCUGCAUUUGUGGGUGCGUGCAUAGGUGUGCUUGUGUGUGCAUUUGUAUGUGUGCACACAUGUGCGUGCAUGUGCAUGGGGGGAUUGCAUGCAGGCAUGUGUGUAUCCUUGUGUGUUUGUGUAUGUGCAUGUGUGUGUGUGCAUGUGGGAAUUUGCAUGCAUGCUUGUGUGUGUUUGUGUAUGUGCAUGUGUGUGUGUGCAUGUGGGAAUUUGCAUGCAUUCUUGUGUGUGUUUGUGAGUGUGUACACGUGCAUGGGCGUGUUUGAGUGUGUACAUUUGUGUGUGCACUUAUUUGUGUGCAUCUGUGUGGGGGCAUCUGCAUGGAUCCUUGUGUGCAUUUGUGUGUGUGCACACGUGUGCACGUGUGUGCAUUCAUUUGUGUAUGUGUGUGGGUGUGUGCAUGUGGGCAUGCGUGUGUAUCUUUGUGAGCAUGUACGUGUGUGUCCUUGUGUGCAUGUCUGUGCGUGUGCAUACAUGUGCGUGUGUGCAUUUAUGCGUGUAUACUUGUGUGUGCACUUGUAUGUAUGCACAUAUGUCUGGAGGACAUGGCCUUGCCCCAGGGUCUGGGGACCCUUCCCUGCCUGCCCUGCCCUGCCCUGCCCUGCCCUGAAGUCUGGGGAACUUGGCCCUGCUCCGGGGUCUGGGGAACCCUGCCCUGGGCCCCUGCCUGCCCUGGGCCCCUGCCUGCCCUGGCGGCUCACCUUGCUCUCGGGCCUGCUGAAUGGAAUCUGCAGCCGCUCCAUGGCCUCGAUCAUGGCCCGCAUGGACACGAAGAUGUUCUGGUAGACCAGGGGCCGGAAGCCCUUGCGCUCCUCCUCCGAGUAGCCGGCGCCGUGGAUGAUCCGCAUCUGCUUGAUGAAGGUGCUCUUCCCGCUCUCGCCUGGGCCUGGGGAUGGAGCAGCAGAACCGCUCAGCCCUCCACGGGACUCCCACCCCCGACACCCCCAAC